AGAGUUUGAUCCUGGCUCAGGAUGAACGCUGGCGGUAUGCUUAACACAUGCAAGUCGAACGGACUCUUCGGAGUUAGUGGCGGACGGGUGAGUAACGCGUGAGAAUCUGGCUUCAGGUUCGGGACAACAGUUGGAAACGGCUGCUAAUACCGGAUGUGCCCUUGGGUGAAAGAUUUAUCACCUGAAGAUGAGCUCGCGUCUGAUUAGCUAGUAGGUGUGGUAAGAGCGCACCUAAGCGACGAUCAGUAGCUGGUCUGAGAGGAUGAUCAGCCACACUGGGACUGAGACACGGCCCAGACUCAUACGGGAGGCAGCAGUGGGGAAUUUUCCGCAAUGGGCGAAAGCCUGACGGAGCAAUGCCGCGUGAGGGAGGAAGGCUCUUGGGUUGUAAACCUCUUUUCUCAGGGAAGAAUGAUGACGGUACCUGAGGAAUAAGCAUCGGCUAACUCCGUGCCAGCAGCCGCGGUAAUACGGAGGAUGCAAGCGUUAUCCGGAAUGAUUGGGCGUAAAGCGUCCGCAGGUGGCAAUGUAAGUCUGCUGUCAAAGCGUCUGGCUCAACCAGAUAAAGGCAGUGGAAACUACAUAGCUAGAGUAAGGUAGGGGUAGAGGGAAUUCCUGGUGUAGCGGUGAAAUGCGUAGAGAUCAGGAAGAACACCGGUGGCGAAAGCGCUCUGCUGGACCUUAACUGACACUGAGGGACGAAAGCUAGGGGAGCGAAUGGGAUUAGAUACCCCAGUAGUCCUAGCCGUAAACGAUGGAUACUAGGCGUUGCCCGUAUCGACCCGGGCAGUGUCGUAGCUAACGCGUUAAGUAUCCCGCCUGGGGAGUACGCAGGCAACUGUGAAACUCAAAGGAAUUGACGGGGGCCCGCACAAGCGGUGGAGUAUGUGGUUUAAUUCGAUGCAACGCGAAGAACCUUACCAGGGCUUGACAUGUCCGGAAUCCUCUUGAAAGGGAGGAGUGCCUUCGGGAGCCGGAACACAGGUGGUGCAUGGCUGUCGUCAGCUCGUGUCGUGAGAUGUUGGGUUAAGUCCCGCAACGAGCGCAACCCUCGUUCUUAGUUGCCAUCAUUAAGUUGGGAACUCUAAGGAGACUGCCGGUGACAAACCGGAGGAAGGUGGGGAUGACGUCAAGUCAGCAUGCCCCUUACGCCCUGGGCUACACACGUACUACAAUGCUAUGGACAAAGGGCAGCAAGCCAGCGAUGGCAAGCAAAUCUCGUAAACCAUGGCUCAGUUCAGAUCGCAGGCUGCAACUCGCCUGCGUGAAGUCGGAAUCGCUAGUAAUUGCAGGUCAGCAUACUGCAGUGAAUUCGUUCCCGGGCCUUGCACUCACCGCCCGUC
rnacentral:rRNA from 1 species